rnacentral:lncRNA from 1 species
UGGAGCUGUGUUCCACCUGCCGCCUGGCACUCAGGCCCCACCCUUCCUGCUCUUGGUGCCUCAAGUAGUCUCCACCAACCCUGUGGUGUGGCCAGCCCCAUGCUGCUCAAGCUGCAGCAAAAGAGGAAGCAGACACUGCUCUCAAGAGUGUUGCAGCUUGAUCGGUAAAACAGCUACUUCUGUUGAAGAAUCUACCAGCCAUCGUGCCUCUUUGGACCAAGGACCCCUGAGACACCAGCUCCUGUGCCUGUCCUAACCUCCCCCGAGAGCUGCUUCCUCCUUGCCUGUGAGAAGGCCUUAGCAGCAUGAGCCCAGCUGCUCUACCUUCUCCUCCCCUUCCUCCAGCAAGGUGAGCUCUAUAUCCCCAGCCCAGAGAAGUGGGCUUGCUCCUCAAAUGUCCAGGGGCCAGCCCCAAGCUGUGAUGAUUCAGGGAGAUUCCAGGGUGAGGGAGAGCAGGGAAUGAUU